rnacentral:rRNA from 1 species
GACGAACGCUGGCGGCGUGCUUAACACAUGCAAGUCGAACGGAAAGGCCCUGCUUGCAGGGUACUCGAGUGGCGAACGGGUGAGUAACACGUGGGUGAUCUGCCCUGCACUUCGGGAUAAGCCUGGGAAACUGGGUCUAAUACCGGAUAGGAGCCAUUUUUAGUGUGAUGGUUGGAAAGUUUUUUCGGUGUAGGAUGAGCUCGCGGCCUAUCAGCUUGUUGGUGGGGUAAUGGCCUACCAAGGCGGCGACGGGUAGCCGGCCUGAGAGGGUGGACGGCCACAUUGGGACUGAGAUACGGACAAGACUCCUACGGGAGGCAGCAGUGGGGAAUAUUGCACAAUGGGAGCAAGCCUGAUGCAGCGACGCCGCGUGGGGGAUGACGGCCUUCGGGUUGUAAACUCCUUUCGCUAGGGACGAAGCUUUUUGUGACGGUACCUAGAUAAGAAGCACCGGCUAACUACGUG